rnacentral:lncRNA from 1 species
GUGGCCACGCCUCCGCCGCCGUGAGGCCCAGGAAGCCGAGGGAACGCUGUGGCUGAAAGGGACCUGGGUCCGCUCAGUCAGCCCGAGGUGGCUGUUGAUUGAGGGAGGUCGCGCCCUCCCAGUUACCUUCCCUGGUGGUUGUGCCGCUCGGUGUGACGCGGUCAAGGGGACGGCUACGCGAGAAUGGGGGAGUGGGGCGCCCGAGGCUGCUCCUGGGCCCUGGGAAGCCCCCGAUUAAUGAAUGGUCGGGUCAGCGACGCGAGGGUCGGGGUUUCUCUGAGGACCGCGCGCUGCACCUGCGGAGCCGGGUGAAUGGAUGUCGCGAAGGCAAGGGCUGCCCUUACCCCUCGGGGCCGACCUCGGAGCCCUCGCCCGUGGUUGCAACGCUUUCCCGGGAAACCGGAGAAGCCAGGCCGGGGGCUCGGCCUUUCUGAGGCGGCCCUUCCGGCGGAGGACACCGGCGGAAUUUGAGUGCACAGAGUGCGCGAGAGGAGCUCCCUGUAGACACACAGUCCAAGCCACGUAGGUAAUUCUAAUAGCAGCCACAUUUUUAAAGAGUAAAGAGAAAUCGGUGAAACUGC